CGGUUGAUCCUGCCAGAGGCCACCGCUAUUGGAUUACGAUUAAACCAUGCGAGUCGAGAGGGUUCGGCCCUCGGCGGACCGCUCAGUAACACGCGGAUAACCUGCCCUUGGGUGGGGGAUAAGCUCGGGAAACUGAGUACAAUACCCCAUAGGCCAUCAAUGCUGGAAUGCUAGAUGGUCCAAAGCUCCGGCGCCCAAGGAUGGAUCUGCGGCCUAUCAGGUCGUAGUUGGUGUAACGGACCAACUAGCCUACGACGGGUACGGGCCUUGAGAGAGGUAGCCCGGAGAUGGAUUCUGAGACAUGAAUCCAGGCCCUACGGGGCGCAGCAGGUGCGAAAACUUCGCAAUGUGGGAAACCACGACGAGGGUAAUCCAAGUGCUUGCACAAUGUGUAGGCUGUUUCCAUGCCUAAAAAGCAUGGAGAGUAAGGGCUGGGUAAGACGGGUGCCAGCCGCCGCGGUAAUACCCGCAGCCCGAGUGGUGGUCGUUAUUAUUGGGCCUAAAACGUCCGUAGCCGGCCCGGUAAAUUCGUGGGGAAAUCGGUCAGCUUAACUGACCGAAGUCCGCGGAGACUGCCGGGCUUGGGACUGGGUGAGGUCAGAGGUACUUCAGGGGUAGGGGUAAAAUCCUGUAAUCCUUGAAGGACCACCAGUGGCGAAGGCGUCUGACUAGAACGGAUCCGACGGUAAGGGACGAAGCCCUGGGGCACAAACGGGAUUAGAUACCCCGGUAGUCCAGGGUGUAAACGCUGUGGGCUUGGUGUUGGGAGUCCCACGAGGGCGCCCAGUGCCGGAGAGAAGUUGUUAAGCCUACUGCCUGGGGAGUACGCUCGCAAGAGUGAAACUUAAAGGAAUUGGCGGGGGAGCACCGCAACGGGUGGAGCGUGCGGUUUAAUUGGAUUCAACGCCGGG
rnacentral:rRNA from 1 species